UUCCGGUUGAUCCUGCCGGACCUGACUGCUAUCGGAUUGAUACUAAGCCAUGCGAGUCAUUGUAGCAAUACAAGGCAUACGGCUCAGUAACGCGUAGUCAACCUACCCUAUGGACGGGGAUAAUCUCGGGAAACUGAGCAUAAUACCCGGCAGACCACUUCUCCUGGAAUGGUUAGUGGUUAAAAUGAUUCGUCGCCAUAGGAUGGGACUGCGGCCUAUCAGCUUGUUGGUGAGGUAAUGGCCCACCAAGGCGAUUACAGGUACGGGCUCUGAGAGGAGAAGCCCGGAGAUGGGUACUGAGACAAGGACCCAGGCCCUAUGGGGCGCAGCAGGCGAGAAAACUUUGCAAUGUGCGAAAGCACGACAAAGUUAAUCCGAGUGAUUUCUGCUAAAGGAAUCUUUUGUUAGUUCUAAAAAUACUAGUGAAUAAGGGGUGGGCAAGUUCUGGUGUCAGCCGCCGCGGUAAAACCAGCACCUCAAGUGGUCAGGAGGAUUAUUGGGCCU
rnacentral:rRNA from 1 species